rnacentral:rRNA from 1 species
GACGAAGGACCCGAGCGUUAUCCGGAUUCAUUGGGUUUAAAGGGUGCGUAGGCGGACUGAUAAGUCAGUGGUGAAAUCCCCAGGCUCAACUUGGGAACUGCCAUUGAUACUGUCGGUCUUGAAUACAGCUGAUGUGGGCGGAAUAUGACAUGUAGCGGUGAAAUGCUUAGAUAUGUCAUAGAACACCGAUUGCGAAGGCAGCUCACAAAACUGUUAUUGACGCUGAGGCACGAAAGCGUGGGGAUCAAACAGG